GGAUUUAUUGAUUAUUUUUCUGUGGAUGCUGUUAAACGUAAUGUAGAUGUGGUAAUCUGAAAUCC